rnacentral:rRNA from 1 species
AACGAACGCUGGCGGCAUGCCUAACACAUGCAAGUCGAACGAUCCCUUCGGGGAUAGUGGCGCACGGGUGCGUAACGCGUGGGAACCUGCCCUUAGGUUCGGAAUAACUCAGAGAAAUUUGAGCCAAUACCGGAUAAUGUCUUCGGACCAAAGAUUUAUUGCCUUUGGUUGGGCCCGCGUUGGAUUAGCUAGUUGGUGGGGUAAUGGCCUACCAAGGCGACGAUCCAUAGCUGGUCUGAGAGGAUGAUCAGCCACACUGGGACUGAGACACGGCCCAGACUCCUACGGGAGGCAGCAGUGGGGAAUAGUGGACAGUGGGCGAAAGCCUGAUCCAGCAAUGCCGCGUGAGUGAUGAAGGCCUUGGGGUUGUAAAGCUCUUUUACCCGGGAUGAUAAUGACAGUACCGGGAGAAUAAGCCCCGGCUAACUCCGUG